GAUUUUUCCCGCCAAUUAGUACAGACUUUAGCCCAAUGAAUAAAGUCAAUUAUUUUAUCUGCUGUGUAAUCUAUUCCCACAUGUGAAAAAUCUCUGCAAAUAUGCUUCUGCAUUCUGCAAAUAUGUUGCUUUGCUGCUUUCUCACGCAAAAUACAUGUUAUACAUCACUUUUAGAUAUAUAUCUAAAAGGAUAUUUAUUUAAUAAAAGAGAUGAGUCCUCAAAACGUUAUUUCUCCCUCUUUCUAUCUAUCGCAUUCUUCGAAGUCUCUUCUCUGUCUUCCACAAUAAAUCCCUAAAUUCUCUCUUAGCACCACCGCCUCUCCUUCCUCUCAUUCCUCACCUGCUUCGUCCGACAACUGCGGACCUGCCGGUCAGCCAGACCGCCGCCAUGUCGCCUCCGCCUCUCUGCUUGAUCGACGAGGAACAACCAUCGGGCCACUAUCGCUGCCGAUCUCUCUAUAUUUCCCCCUCUUCCCCGAUCGGUUAGCCACAAGGAGCGGCCACUUCAUACAUUCCCUAUCUCUCUCUCUCCCCCGAACAACGGCAACGAGGCCACCGCCAGCCUGCCUCCUUCGUUCUCCCUCAGCUCCGACGAGUCGAGCUGCGUCUUGCGCCAAAAUGAAGCCUACCUCCAUCAUUCUCCCUCAGUGUGUCCGAAGGAGAAGGCGAAUCUCCAUCUACGUUUCUGGCGCUGGCUGCUCCGCCGAUUUCUGCCUCCAAACCAUCGCUCUCCGGGAAGAGGUACCCGGGGUAUAAACAUAUUUCUGCCUGCAAACCACUGCUUCUUUUUAUUAUUAUUAUUAAAACCACUGAUUUUUUUUAUUAAGCUUCUCGCUCUGUUUGGCUGAGACAUCUUGCUGGCCGAUCAAGCCUACCAAGUUCGGCAAUGCCAUUCUCUCUCGCUGACCGAUCAAGCGCUGGUAGGCGCAGAGGAUCUUUGAUGACACCGAUUUCAAUUUUCUUUUAUAGAAAAUUCAUGUUUAUGAGUUUGUUAUAUGUUGUUUGUCUUUAUCAAUUUGAUGCUCUUUUUGCUCUCUCUCACACACAUGCACACUCAUUUCUAGCGUCCGUCAGCACAUCAUGGAUAAAGUUGAUUGGUCAAGAAAAUAAAACAUGAGAUAAAAUUAGGAUGAGAAGCAAGAGACCUCAUGGCCCAAAAAUGAGUUGUAGUUAACUAAGCAAAGAGUUUUUAUUGGUGGUAUUUGCUAAAUGAGUCUCUGCUCGCAUAUUGCACUUAUUAAUCUCUGUCUCAGGGUAAUGUGUUUUGGAGCUAUUAUUUUAUGUGCUAGGAGCUUAAGAGAUUGGCUACACAUGCAGCAAGCAACCCAAAUUUUUUGACCAACAUCAUUAUGAAGAAUCGGCUUGAUUCUUAUUGAUGGGAAGUGAGUGCAGCCCCAUCUACUUUUCUUCAUUGUUUUACUUUUUUGUGAUGAAUGGAUAUAAUCUAUAUUUGUAAAGAUGGAUGCUGAUAAUUUUGCAAGUUUAUAAUAUGUUUCUGCUG